AUUGAACGCUGGCGGCAGGCCUAACACAUGCAAGUCGAGCGGAUGAAGGGAGCUUGCUCCUGGAUUCAGCGGCGGACGGGUGAGUAAUGCCUAGGAAUCUGCCUGGUAGUGGGGGAUAACGUCCGGAAACGGGCGCUAAUACCGCAUACGUCCUGAGGGAGAAAGUGGGGGAUCUUCGGACCUCACGCUAUCAGAUGACCCUAGGUCGGAUUAGCUAGUUGGCGGGGUAAAGGCCUACCAAGGCGACGAUCCGUAACUGGUCUGAGAGGAUGAUCAGUCACACUGGAACUGAGACACGGUCCAGACUCCUACGGGAGGCAGCAGUGGGGAAUAUUGGACAAUGGGCGAAAGCCUGAUCCAGCCAUGCCGCGUGUGUGAAGAAGGUCUUCGGAUUGUAAAGCACUUUAAGUUGGGAGGAAGGGCAGUAAGUUAAUACCUUGCUGUUUUGACGUUACCAACAGAAUAAGCACCGGCUAACUUCGUG
rnacentral:rRNA from 1 species